CGCACAUUGCGCCCUUUGGUAUUCCUUAGGGCAUGCCUGUUCGAGCGUCAUUUAUCUCGAAGGCCCCUCGCUUCUGUGAGGGGGUUGUUGGGUGCAUGUCCCACCGGACACACCCCAAAUACAUUGGCGGCCUUCGUCUUGGGCUAUGAGCGCAGCAGACUCGCGCCUCUGGUCCAGUGCGUCGGCGUCCACCAAGCAAAUCAUAUCUUGACCUCGGAUCAGGUAGGGAUACCCGCUGAACUUAA
rnacentral:misc_RNA from 1 species